AUUUGUGUGAUUUGACAGUUUCCAUUUGUUUACCUCAUUUUCCAAACAAGAGAUUCCGCAGUGCAUUUUCGUUUUUUAGCACCCCAAGGGUUAAGCAACAGCAGUCCAAAGUGGAGCCACUCGGAAUAACAGACAUGUUGAAGUUUUUGCUGACAUUCGGUGCCGGUGUUUACACCGGAAUAUACGUCUCGCAAAAUUAUGAGGUACCGAGAGUUGACGAACCGGGAAAGUUAU